GUUCACGUUUCUUGGAGAGUUUUGGACCGGACCGACGAAAAUGAGCAAAGCAGAGGAGAGCGCGGUGGAGCAGAGAACAUACAGUUUAUUUUGAAGCACUGCAUCGAGCGCUAAGAGCGGAUCUGAGGACCACCAUGACUCCGCGGCAGGAGAUAAGGAAAAGCACUGACCUCAGGGAAUGACUACACAGCGGCACUGUGGCUCUGUUCACAGCGGCAACCCUUCAUUAAUGCUUUGUACAGUGUGUGUAAGCACUUAGCAGCCGGUGUAGGUGGAGACCAAAGUCACGUCUAGGUUGAAUUCCUCAAGCGCUGAUUCUUUCUCACAGGGACAAAUGGAAAAACACACCAAUGCUAACAACCUGGCUGCGCACUGCCAUGGAUACACACACACACACACACACACACACACACACACACACACACACACACACACACACACACACACACACACACAUACACAUACACACACACAUGCACACAGUGAGUGAGAGACGCAUGCAGCCACAUGCACACAGAUGUCGACAGGCAUCUCUAUUUAUACCAUCGCUCCAAUAAAUCUAUCUGUUCAUUUGUCUAUUUUCUCUGGCUUUGCUCAUGGACUGGUGAAUGGCUGCGAGAGGAGAGGAGGCGAGGGUAGAGGAGGCAAGGGGAGACGAGAGGAGACGAGACGAGGCGAGAGGCCUGCGGGACAUAUGAGGACACAACUGUCCGAUGGCGUUUUCCUCCACUUCGGCCCUCCUCCAUAUCUUAGACACCACUGCUACACACCACCGUGCAACAGAUUCCUGGAAAAUAUGAACUUGUGUCAACUUGUACGGCUCAAACUAAUACAGGCCCACUUUUGCCUUUUUUUUCCCUCCCAUCUUUUCAAUUGUACAGCUUAAAUACGUCGAAACAACACCUCUGUCUGCUGAGUGGUAAAACUGAGCUACUGUAAUGGAGGCGAGGUGUGGACAGGAUGCAUUUAGGUGAAAAAUCAUCAGGAAAGCAAGAGCCAAACUAGACCACGUGGAGAAAAGAUGUAUAGAAUACACAACUAAUAUAAGAUGUUAUAAAUGAGCCUAUAAAUAAAAUUAAAUAAAGUUUUCAA